UACGGAGGAUGCAAGCGUUAUCCGGAAUGAUUGGGCGUAAAGGGUCCGCAGGAGGCAGUUCAAGUCUGCUGUCAAAGACCGGGGCUUAACUUCGGAAAGGCAGUGGAAACUGAACAGCUAGAGUAUGGUAGGGGCAGAGGGAAUUCCUGGUGUAGCGGUGAAAUGCGUAGAGAUCAGGAAGAACAUCGGUGGCGAAGGCGCUCUGCUGGACCAUAACUGACACUCAGGGACGAAAGCUAGGGGAGCGAAUGGG
rnacentral:rRNA from 1 species